rnacentral:rRNA from 1 species
UACGUAGGUUGCAAGCGUUGUCCGGAUUUACUGGGCGUAAAGCGAUCGCAGGCGGAUCUUUAAGUCGGAUGUGAAAGGUUGCAGCUCAACUGUAACACUGCUCCCUAUACUGGAGGUCUUGAGUAGCGGAGAGGAAGAGGGAACGACACGUGUAGCGGUGAAAUGCGUUGAUAUGUGUCGGAACACCGAUGGCGAAAGCACUCUUCUGGACGAACACUGACGCUGAGGUUCGAAAGCAAAGGUAGCAAACAGG